rnacentral:tRNA from 3 species
GUGGACGUAGCUCAGUUGGUAGAGCGCAGGAUUGUGAUUCCUGUGGUCGAGGGUUCGAUUCCCUUCGUCCACCCCA